CCCUUAGAUGUUCUGGGCAGCACGCGCGCUACAAUGGUCUUCGCAAACGGAUGCAUUCUCGAAGGAGAAUGCCAAUCUUGGAAUCUAUGCCUUGGUCGGGACAGUUGCUUGCAAUUUUUCGACUCGAACCAGGAAUUCCUUGUAAUCGUGAUUCAUCACAUCACGAUGAAUACGUCCCUGCCCUUUGUACACACCGCCCGUCGCUCCUACCGAUUGAACGAUCCGGUGAAAACUCAGGACUGAUGACUGACCAGCGGUUCGCCGUUGCCAGUUUCGGGAAUUUGUUUGAACCUUAUCGUUUAGAGGAAGGAGAAGUCGUAACA
rnacentral:rRNA from 1 species